CUGCGGAGGGAUCAUUACUGAGUUUACGCUCUACAACCCUUUGUGAACAUACCUAUAACUGUUGCUUCGGCGGGUAGGGUCUCCGCGACCCUCCCGGCCUCCCGCCUCCGGGCGGGUCGGCGCCCGCCGGAGGAUAACCAAACUCUGAUUUAACGACGUUUCUUCUGAGUGGUACAAGCAAAUAAUCAAAACUUUUAACAACGGAUCUCUUGGUUCUGGCAUCGAUGAAGAACGCAGCGAAAUGCGAUAAGUAAUGUGAAUUGCAGAAUUCAGUGAAUCAUCGAAUCUUUGAACGCACAUUGCGCCCGCCAGCAUUCUGGCGGGCAUGCCUGUUCGAGCGUCAUUUCAACCCUCAAGCUCUGCUUGGUGUUGGGGCCCUACAGCUGAUGUAGGCCCUCAAAGGUAGUGGCGGACCCUCUCGGAGCCUCCUUUGCGUAGUAACUUUACGUCUCGCACUGGGAUCCGGAGGGACUCUUGCCGUAAAACCCCCAAUUUUCCAAAGGUUGACCUCGGAUCAGGUAGGAAUACCCGCUGAACUUAAGCAUAUCAA
rnacentral:rRNA from 1 species